rnacentral:rRNA from 1 species
GAUAAACGCUGGCGGCGUGCCUAAUACAUGCAAGUCGAGCGAACGGACGAGAAGCUUGCUUCUCUGAUGUUAGCGGCGGACGGGUGAGUAACACGUGGAUAACCUACCUAUAAGACUGGGAUAACUUCGGGAAACCGGAGCUAAUACCGGAUAAUAUUUUGAACCGCAUGGUUCAAAAGUGAAAGACGGUCUUGCUGUCACUUAUAGAUGGAUCCGCGCUGCAUUAGCUAGUUGGUAAGGUAACGGCUUACCAAGGCAACGAUGCAUAGCCGACCUGAGAGGGUGAUCGGCCACACUGGAACUGAGACACGGUCCAGACUCCUACGGGAGGCAGCAGUAGGGAAUCUUCCGCAAUGGGCGAAAGCCUGACGGAGCAACGCCGCGUGAGUGAUGAAGGUCUUCGGAUCGUAAAACUCUGUUAUUAGGGAAGAACAUAUGUGUAAGUAACUGUGCACAUCUUGACGGUACCUAAUCAGAAAGCCACGGCUAACUACGUGCCAGCAGCCGCGGUAAUACGUAGGUGGCAAGCGUUAUCCGGAGUUAUUGGGCGUAAAGCGCGCGUAGGCGGUUUUUUAAGUCUGAUGUGAAAGCCCACGGCUCAACCGUGGAGGGUCAUUGGAAACUGGAAAACUUGAGUGCAGAAGAGGAAAGUGGAAUUCCAUGUGUAGCGGUGAAAUGCGCAGAGAUAUGGAGGAACACCAGUGGCGAAGGCGACUUUCUGGUCUGUAACUGACGCUGAUGUGCGAAAGCGUGGGGAUCAAACAGGAUUAGAUACCCUGGUAGUCCACGCCGUAAACGAUGAGUGCUAAGUGUUAGGGGGUUUCCGCCCCUUAGUGCUGCAGCUAACGCAUUAAGCACUCCGCCUGGGGAGUACGACCGCAAGGUUGAAACUCAAAGGAAUUGACGGGGACCCGCACAAGCGGUGGAGCAUGUGGUUUAAUUCGAAGCAACGCGAAGCACCUUACCAAAUCUUGACAUCCUUUGACAACUCUAGAGAUAGAGCCUUCCCCUUCGGGGGACAAAGUGACAGGUGGUGCAUGGUUGUCGUCAGCUCGUGUCGUGAGAUGUUGGGUUAAGUCCCGCAACGAGCGCAACCCUUAAGCUUAGUUGCCAUCAUUAAGUUGGGCACUCUAAGUUGACUGCCGGUGACAAACCGGAGGAAGGUGGGGAUGACGUCAAAUCAUCAUGCCCCUUAUGAUUUGGGCUACACACGUGCUACAAUGGACAAUACAAAGGGCAGCGAAACCGCGAGGUCAAGCAAAUCCCAUAAAGUUGUUCUCAGUUCGGAUUGUAGUCUGCAACUCGACUACAUGAAGCUGGAAUCGCUAGUAAUCGUAGAUCAGCAUGCUACGGUGAAUACGUUCCCGGGUCU